AAACUGGACUUACAGUCGUAUCUGCAGCCGAUCUUUGCAUCAGCUCAAAGUCUACUGAAUUUCCACACCCUAUAAAUACAGGAUAUUUCCGUCUGCAAAAUGAAGAUCUUGGCCAUUGCUGUCAUCUUGUGCCUCGCUGUGCUGUACACUCAGGCUUUACCAGCCGAAAUGCCAUCUUCACCACUGCUGCUGAGUCGGGUGGCCAGGUCGCCUCACUCCCCUCCCCGAAACUGUAUCCCGUGUCGUUGCAUAAAGAAGGUCACAGUGAUCACCAUAAUCGAAUAUGAAGUAAUUCCACCAAGCACCAGGUUCGGCGGCAGCAACCAGUGCUGCCCAUGCCCUAACUUCUAAUGGCGCUGUUUCUCAUGGACCGAUGACGUCAACUUUCCCAUGUAUGUUCUAGACGGAAAAUCAUAAAAAUCCAGAAAAAAACACUAAACCAAAUGGUAUAUUAUCCUUGAAUAUUUUCAUAUGCAAAUAAAAUUGGUGUAACUAA